CACUUCUAUUCUUCAACCAUUUGUCAAUUCUGUUUCCUAGUUCCAUAAUACCCUUGCUUCAUUCAUGGAAAAUUCCAGUUCAUCACCAAGCCCUAACUCGAACAUUGAGCUCCCAUGGCCUCUAUGUUUGCAGUAAUAUGCAAUGACCCAUUAUGCAAUGAGCUACCUUGUAUAACAGAUAGGAUUUCCUUCUUCUCCUGAGACCAUCUGGAGGAAUAAAAAAACAUCUGAUCCUUAAUAAGACUGCUGAUAUGAAUGAAGGACAAGGAUUCAAUCCCUCAGGAAAUUCUGAAGAUGGAUGUAGUUUGCCUACUUCUGGUAUUAUGAUUCCAAGCGUGAGCCACCAUAUUCAGCUUUGCAGAGUAACUUGAUUCCAGAGGAAAUAGCACUUGAGCAACAAUGGCAAAAUAAUAAAUGUUGAAUUACCC